GUGGUGGCUCAGUGGUAGAGCACUUGCCUCGCAUGCGUGAGGCACUGGGUUCAAUUCUCAGCACUACA
rnacentral:tRNA from 1 species